rnacentral:rRNA from 1 species
GACGAACCGUGCGAACGUUGUCCGGAAUCAUUGGGCGUAAAGAGCGUGUAGGCGGCCCGGUAAGUCCGCUGUGAAAGUCGAGGGCUCAACCCUCGAAUGCCGGCGGAUACUGUCGGGCUAGAGUCCGGAAGAGGCGAGUGGAAUUCCUGGUGUAGCGGUGAAAUGCGCAGAUAUCAGGAGGAACACCUACGGCGAAGGCAGCUCGCUGGGACGGUACUGACGCUGAGACGCGAAAGCGUGGGGAGCAAACAGG